rnacentral:lncRNA from 1 species
ACUAGGAAAAGAAAGUUUCAUGAAGAUGAACUCAAUCUCCAAAAUAAGUGCUAGGUGGAGAGUGAGACAAGUAGGCAUAAAACUCAUGCAGCUAAUUUUCUGCUGUUAAUGCUUCUUUAUUAGCUUGUGCAAAGACCAUAUUUAUGAGUAAGUAUGCAUCCAUGUGCCUAUUAUGAACUAAAUUUACAAAUAUACGAAAUGAACUUGAACAUUAUGUUAGGUGAUCACAGAUGACUGAACAAGCUAUGUAACUUUUAACUCUGCAAUGAAACCCACGAAAGCACUGUCAGAUAAGACUUCUAAUUACUUCACACCUGUUGCAACUAAUGGAUAAUCAAUUGAUAUGCAAAUACAAUUGGAAGAGAAGUAUUAGUCUUUGUGGAUGUCGAUCAUGGUUGGAACAGAUGGUCUGUAUGCAUCAUCAUCAUCAGGUUGCGAAUUCAAACUAACAUUAUCCCCAGGGUGGCGUUUCUACCCCAUUAAUCUGAAUAGAAUAGACCUGCAGUGGUACCUUCACCGUCCAGAAGCUGACGGUAAUCACAUCUUUGACUGUUAAUUCUCAGCUAAUCAGUGCUCAGCACUGCACACCUCCGAGCUUCUGCAAAAAGAUGCAAAAAGGAAACCAUUUUUUGAUUUAACCCAAAAAUGAUGCUCAAUUUCACAACAAGACCAAUGAAGCUUUAAAGCGAAACUAGAAACCAGUAAAAGCCAAGUAAAGAAGAAAAGCAUUUUAUCUUAAAACAAAGGGCCGCCUGAAGCCCUUCAUUAGGGAAGAAACCCACCCACAAGUUGGAAAUCUUAACUAGCAGUUGCCGAGUCUCAGAAACACAUUUACAGAAAAAAAUUCCAUCUUCCCUCACCGACAUGUUGGGUUUAUUA